UACAGAGGUCUCAAGCGUUGUUCGGAUUCAUUGGGCGUAAAGGGUGCGUAGGUGGCGCGCUAAGUCAGGUGUGAAAUCUCGGGGCUUAACUCCAGAACUGCCUUUGAUACUGGCGAUCUUGAGUCCGGGAGAGGUGAGUGGAACUGCGAGUGUAGAGGUGAAAUUCGUAGAUAUUCGCAAGAACACCAGUGGCGAAGGCGGCUCACUGGCCCGGUACUGACGCUGAGGUGCGAAAGCGUGGGGAGCAAACAGG
rnacentral:rRNA from 1 species